GAUGAACGCUAGCGGCAGGCUUAAUACAUGCAAGUCGAGGGGCAGCACGGUUAGCAAUAACUGGUGGCGACCGGCGCACGGGUGCGUAACACGUAUACAAUCUACCUUAAACAGGGGAUAGCCUUUCGAAAGAGAGAUUAAUACCCCGUAAUAAAUUGAACGGCAUCGUUUGAUUUUGAAAGCUCCGGCGGUUUGAGAUGAGUAUGCGUCUGAUUAGCUAGUUGGUGAGGUAACGGCUCACCAAGGCGACGAUCAGUAGGGGAUCUGAGAGGACUAACCCCCACACUGGUACUGAGACACGGACCAGACUCCUACGGGAGGCAGCAGUAAGGAAUAUUGGUCAAUGGAGGCAACUCUG
rnacentral:rRNA from 1 species